rnacentral:misc_RNA from 1 species
AUGUCGUUGAGGAAAGAAAUAAAGCAACGUUCGUCCGAUCGUGAGAGUAGACGUGAGGAUGAAAAGUAUUAUAGGAAAAAGCAUCGCGAAAUUGAGAACCGCACGAGAACUUCAAGAAGCGAAGCGCGGAGCGAUCGACAAGUGAACAAGUUUUUCACUCGCGCGACAAAUUCUCAGUUGCAAAAUUUAUCCUCGAAAUGUCAUCCCGAAGACAGCAACGUGACGGAUGAGUUGUGUUUUAGUAAAUAUAAGCACGAAUUGAAUAAGAUUUUCACGAUUAAUUCAAAUCUCGUUCGUGACGUUAUGGACUUUUGGAAAUUUGUCGAGAAAUAUGAGUCUGUCAAGAAGCAAUUUGGCGAUAAUUAUGAAUAUAUGAUUAAUCCUGUUCUAAAUCCCAUUGGGUUGCCAGAUAAAUAUCACAAGUCUCAUUGUCUAAACUUGAAACUUGGUUUGUCUUAUGGAGAAUUGUUUGCUAGAGUCAGAGGUUUGCCAGAGGCAAAACCAUUGACCGAAUCACAAUUGCUCAAGUUCAGGGAUGUUUUACUCUUGUAUUUGGAUUUUAAGCAAAAGGAGAAAUUUAGUAAAUUAAAAAAGCUUCGAGAUAUGCAAGCUAACUUGCCAGUUGCACGAUUCAAAGAUGAAAUUGUCAAGACGGUAAAGACGGAGAGAGUAAUUAUUGUGGCAGGAGACACUGGUUGUGGAAAAUCUACUCAGAUCCCUCGAUACUUGUAUGAAGCUGGUUUCCGGAAGAUUGCAUGUACGCAACCUCGAAGAAUAGCAUGCAUCUCGUUAGCGAAACGAGUCUCUUUUGAAACAUUGAGUGAGAAUCUUAGUAGAGUUGGAUAUCAGAUACGUUUUGAGAAACAAAGGAAUCAAGAGACAAACAUUACAUUCAUAACAGAAGGUUUAUUAUUGCGCCAGCUGUCGGGUGAAACAACUUUAUCUGCGUAUGAUGUGAUAGUCUUGGAUGAAGUACAUGAACGUCACUUACAUGGAGAUUUUUUAAUGGGCAUUAUGAAAUGCAUCAUUUACCAACAGCCUGAUUUAAAAUUAGUACUAAUGUCCGCCACUAUUAAUAUAGAACUUUUUAGUAAUUAUUUUGCAAAGGAAAAUGUUAAAAUAAUAGAAGUUCCUGGAAGAUUAUAUCCCAUUCAAUUGUUUUAUCGUCCUAUAACUGUAGAAGAUCUCAGAUACAAAAAUGAUCGAUUUAAUCCCAGUCCAUACGUACAAAUAAUGCAAAUGAUUGAUCAAAAAUAUCCAGUCGAUGAGAAGGGCGAUUUAUUAAUAUUCUUGAGUGGAAUAAAUGAAAUUACUGCAGUUGUAGAUGCUGCCAAGGAAUAUAGUAUUAAAAAAAACAACUGGAUAAUUUUACCACUUCACAGUACUUUGUCUAUCGUUGAACAAGACAAGGUAUUUGACUAUGCACCUGAUGGUGUUAGAAAAUGUAUUGUCGCAACUAACAUUGCAGAAACUUCUAUUACCAUUGACGGAAUUAGAUUUGUCGCCGAUAGUGGAAAAGUAAAGGAAAUGAGUUAUGACCCAUCAUGUAAAAUGCAAAGAUUAAAAGAAUUUUGGAUAAGUAAGGCAAGUGCAGAACAAAGAAAAGGAAGAGCUGGCAGGACUGGACCUGGAGUUUGUUAUAGAAUUUAUUCAGAGGAAGAGUACAAGAUGUUGGAAAAAUAUUCAACACCGGAAUUACAACGUGUACCCUUAGAUUCUUCAUUACUACAAAUGAUAGCAAUGGGUCUUCCCGAUGCACGAAAGUUUCCAUUUAUAGAGCCACCACCAGCAAAUAGUAUAGAAAACGCUAUACUAUCCCUAAAAGAUCAUGAUGCACUUACGGACAACGAAAAGAUUACAUGUAUCGGUAAAACCUUGGCACGGUUGCCCGUUGAUAUUACAAUAGGGAAGAUGUUAAUAAUGGGAUCUAUUUUUCAUCAAGUGGAACCCGUUUUAUCAUUAGCUGCUGCUCUAAGUAUACAAACACCGUUUACUAAUAGGACUUACAGGGAUACUGAAUGUGAGACAUCUAGAAAGAAGUUGGAAUCUGAUCAUGGCGAUCCCAUAACGUUACUGAAUGCAUUUAAAGAAUGGCUGGAGGUAAAACAAGAAAACUCUCAAGAAUAUAGAAGCAGUAGUAAUAGCAGCAGAAAAUGGUGCAAAAGAAGAGGUUUGGAGGAGCAACGGUUCUACGAAAUGACGAAAUUAAGGACUCAAUUUAAAGACUUACUACAAGACUGCAAUUUACUUAAAAGUCUCCCAGAACCCAAUUCUUCUAUGACGAGUGCGGAACGUGCCAUAAGACAUGGAGAACUGAAACUUUUGAAAUCUCUCAAAAGAACUUACAAACAAAAUGAACCUAAAAGGCGUAAACAAUUAAAAGUAGAAACAUUCGAUAUACAGUUAGAGGAUGAUGACGAAAAUAAUGGAGAGCUUGACAUAAAAGAUAUAGAAUUUCGAAUGAGAAAUGACUCGAGCCAAGUGCAUAAUCUUUUGACAGCGUCUACCGCAUGUAGCUAUAAGGAUCUAACCAUGUUAAAAUUAAUAUUAUGUAGUGGUUUAUACCCACAAUUUGCUUGUGCCGACGAAUUUAAUUAUUGCAAGUCUAUAAAUGAACAAUUGUUUCACACAAAAGCAAAACCGUAUGUUGCUUUGCAUCCAAUGAGCUUUUUUGGAAAUCAUCCACAAAUUUUGCAAAUUGAAGAAUCAGAUAUAAUGUCAAUACCAGGUUUUAAGAGCAAGACUCCUGUUAGUUCUAAACAUCAGUUAUUAGCAUACCUAUCUCUUUUGGAAACUACAAAGCCAUAUCUGGUAAAUACUUUACGAAUGCCUGCCGCCCAAACGUUGCUAUUAUUUGCGCAUGAAAUAGAUACAAAUAGCACAUUCUCUAUAAUAGCAUGUGAUUCGUGGCUGGUGUUAGAAUUUCCUGUACCUGACAGUGGCCAAACUUUAUUGAUGGAAGCUAUCAAGUUAAGGAAUAAAUGGGAUUUCUUAUUAAAUCAGCAAUUACGAGGAUUUGACAGUGCUAACAAUGAAAAAAAAGAUUUUAGUCAAAUUGAGCAAAAUCUUACGCAAGAACUGAUUGAAUAUAUGCAUACUAUGAUACCAUACACUAUAAAACGGUUGUUACCAGCUGAUUUGAAAAUGAUAUAUGUUGGUAACGGCAAUAAUGAUACGAAUAUAGAGCCUAAUCCUUUUCAACCUGACUUUACGAGUAUACCAAAUGUAAUUAAAGGUGGAGUUUAUGUAACAGACAAUAUUACAUAUAAUUGCAUAAAAGAAACUAAUUGGAGUGAACAGUUACUUGCAGAAAUGCAAGAAACCGAGUGGCAUUGUAAAAAUUGUAAUCUUCAAGCAAUUCUGUCGAGUAUCGAAAAAUUACAACAUCAAAACUCUUGUACGAUCCCAGAUACAAUUAGUGUCGCUAAAGAUAGUGAAAAUAUCACACGUAAAGCCAAUAAUCAACCAUACGAAUGUCCUGAUUGUUCGCUAACGUUAUACCUCACGCCUAUUGAAAUAUUGAAACAUAAAAAAUUACAUAUAAACUAAAAUAUUUUCCAAUUCUAUACACGAUUAUAAAUGGAAUAUGAUUGUUUAGAAGUGUAAAUCGAUAUGAUCAGCACAUUUGUGAGACAUGAUCAAUGCACAAUACCAAUAUAUCAAAGGAGUUGCAGAGGCUAAUAAACGGGUGCUGACUUGAAUAUGUACAAAAAAUAA